AUUGAACGCUGGCGGCAGGCCUAACACAUGCAAGUCGAACGGUAACAGGAAGAAGCUUGCUUCUUUGCUGACGAGUGGCGGACGGGUGAGUAAUGUCUGGGAAACUGCCUGAUGGAGGGGGAUAACUACUGGAAACGGUAGCUAAUACCGCAUAACGUCGCAAGACCAAAGAGGGGGACCUUCGGGCCUCUUGCCAUCGGAUGUGCCCAGAUGGGAUUAGCUAGUAGGUGGGGUAACGGCUCACCUAGGCGACGAUCUCUAGCUGGUCUGAGAGGAUGACCAGCCCCACUGGAACUGAGACACGGUCCAGACUCCUACGGGAGGCAGCAGUGGGGAAUAUUGCACAAUGGGCGCAAGCCUGAUGCAGCCAUGCCGCGUGUAUGAAGAAGGCCUUCGGGUUGUAAAGUACUUUCAGCGGGGAGGAAGGGAGUAAAGUUAAUACCUUUGCUCAUUGACGUUACCCGCAGAAGAAGCACCGGCUAACUCCGUG
rnacentral:rRNA from 1 species